rnacentral:rRNA from 1 species
CGGUUGAUCCUGCCGGAGAUCACUGCUAUUGGGAUUCGAUUAAGCCAUGCGAGUCGAGAGGGUUCGGCCCUCGGCUGACGGCUCAGUAACACGUGGAUAACCUGCCCUUAGGUGGAGGAUAAUCUCGGGAAACUGAGGAUAAUACUCCAUAGAUCUAGGAUGCUGGAAUGCAUCUAGAUUUAAAGCUCACGCGCCUAAGGAUGGGUCUGCGGACUAUUAGGUUGUAGUUAGGGUAACGGCCUGACUAGCCUACGACGGAUACGGGUUGUGAGAGCAAUAACCCGGAGACGAUAUCUGAGACACGAUAUCGGGCCCUACGGGGCGCAGCAGGCGCGAAAACUUCACACUGUGCGAAAGCGCGAUGAGGGAAUCCCAAGUGUUUGCUCGUAAGAGUAAACUGUUUCUUUGUUUAAAACGCAGAGAGAGUAAGGGCUGGGUAAGACGGGUGCCAGCCGCCGCGGUAAUACCUGCAGCUCGAGUGGUGAUCAUUAUUAUUGGGCCUAAAACGUCCGUAGCCGGUUUAGUAAAUGCCUGGGUAAAUCGUGUAGCUUAACUAUACGACUUCCGGGUAGACUGCUAAACUUGAGACCGGGAGAGGCUAGAGGUACUCCUGGGGUAGAGGUGAAAUUCUGUAAUCCUAGGGGGACCACCAGUGGCGAAGGCGUCUAGCUAGAACGGGUCUGACGGUGAGGGACGAAGCCCUGGGGCACAAACCGGAUUAGAUACCCGGGUAGUCCAGGGUGUAAACGCUGCUUGCUUGAUGUUAGUUGGGCUCCGAGCCCAACUAGUGUCGGAGAGAAGUUGUUAAGCAAGCUGCCUGGGAAGUACGGUCGCAAGGCUGAAACUUAAAGGAAUUGGCGGGGGAGCAC